rnacentral:rRNA from 1 species
UACAGAGGUCUCAAGCGUUGUUCGGAUUCAUUGGGCGUAAAGGGCGCGUAGGCGGCGUGGCAAGUCACUUGUGAAAUCUCCGGGCUUAACUCGGAACGGUCAAGUGAUACUGCUGUGCUAGAGUGCGGAAGGGGCAACUGGAAUUCUUGGUGUAGCGGUGAAAUGCGUAGAUAUCAAGAGGAACACCUGCGGCGAAGGCGGGUUGCUGGGCCGACACUGACGCUGAGGCGCGAAAGCUAGGGGAGCGAACGGG